GACGAACGCUGGCGGCGUGCUUAACACAUGCAAGUCGAACGGUGAACCUCGUCGGAGGGGAUCAGUGGCGAACGGGUGAGUAACACGUGGGCAACCUGCCCCCGGCUCUGGGAUAACUCCAAGAAAUUGGGGCUAAUACCGGAUGUUCACCGCUUCCCGCCUGGGUGGUGGUGGAAAGGGUUUCCGGCUGGGGAUGGGCCCGCGGCCUAUCAGCUUGUUGGUGGGGUAGUGGCCUACCAAGGCGACGACGGGUAGCCGGCCUGAGAGGGUGACCGGCCACACUGGGACUGAGACACGGCCCGGACUCCGACGGGAGGCAGCAGUGGGGAAUAUUGCGCAAUGGGCGGAAGCCUGACGCAGCGACGCCGCGUGGGGGAUGACGGCCUUCGGGUGGUAAACCUCUUUCAGCAGGGACGAAGCGCAAGUGACGGUACCUGCAGAAGAAGCACCGGCCAACUACGUG
rnacentral:rRNA from 1 species